rnacentral:rRNA from 1 species
UACGUAGGGUGCAAGCGUUAAUCGGAAUUACUGGGCGUAAAGGGUGCGUAGGCGGUCUCGCAAGUCUGGCGUGAAAGCCCAAGGCUCAGCCUUGGAAGUGCGCUCGAAACGGCGAGGCUGGAGUGCCGGAGGGGAGAGUGGAAUUCCCGGUGUAGCGGUGAAAUGCGUAGAUAUUGGGAGGAACACCAGUGGCGAAGGCGGCUCACUGGACCGGUACUGACGCUGAAGUGCGAAAGCGUGGGGAGCAAACGGG